GGGUAGACGAUGGCAAAUUGGUUAAUAUUCCAAUACCAACAUUAGUGUGCGAUGGAAGGACGCUUAGGGCUAAGGGGGCUAGCGGAUGGAAGUGCUAGUCUAAGGUCGUAGGAGGUUGUACAGGCAAAUCCGUAUAACAAUACUCCGAGAACUGAAAGGCUUUUUGAAGUCUUCGGAUGGAUAGAAGAACCCCUGAUGCCGUCGAGCCAAGAAAAGUUUCUAAGUUUAGCUAAUGUUGCCCGUACCGUAAACCGACACAGGUGGGUGGGAUGAGUAUUCUAAGGCGCGUGGAAGAACUCUCUUUAAGGAACUCUGCAAAAUAGCACCGUAUCUUCGGUAUAAGGUGUGGUUAGCUUUGUAUUAGGAUUUACUCCGAAAGCAAGGAAACUUACAACAAAGAGUCCCUCCCGACUGUUUACCAAAAACACAGCACUCUGCUAACUCGUAAGAGGAUGUAUAGGGUGUGACGCCUGCCCGGUGCUCGAAGGUUAAUUGAUGGGGUUAGCAUUAGCGAAGCUCUUGAUCGAAGCCCGAGUAAACGGCGGCCGUAACUAUAACGGUCCUAAGGUAGCGAAAUUCCUUGUCGGUUAAAUACCGACCUGCAUGAAUGGCGUAACGAGAUGGGAGCUGUCUCAAAGAGGGAUCCAGUGAAAUUGUAGUGGAGGUGAAAAUUCCUCCUACCCGCGGCAAGACGGAAAGACCCCGUGGACCUUUACUACAGCUUGACACUGCUACUUGGAUAAGAAUGUGCAGGAUAGGUGGGAGGCUUUGAGUAUAUGACGCCAGUUGUAUAUGAGCCAUUGUUGAGAUACCACUCUUUCUUAUUUGGGUAGCUAACCAGCUUGAGUUAUCCUCAAGUGGGACAAUGUCUGGUGGGUAGUUUGACUGGGGCGGUCGCCUCCCAAAUAAUAACGGAGGCUUACAAAGGUUGGCUCAGAACGGUUGGAAAUCGUUCGUAGAGUAUAAAGGUAUAAGCCAGCUUAACUGCAAGACAUACAAGUCAAGCAGAGACGAAAGUCGGUCUUAGUGAUCCGGUGGUUCUGUGUGGAAGGGCCAUCGCUCAAAGGAUAAAAGGUACCCCGGGGAUAACAGGCUGAUCUCCCCCAAGAGCUCACAUCGACGGGGAGGUUUGGCACCUCGAUGUCGGCUCAUCGCAUCCUGGGGCUGGAGCAGGUCCCAAGGGUAUGGCUGUUCGCCAUUUAAAGCGGUACGCGAGCUGGGUUCAGAACGUCGUGAGACAGUUCGGUCCCUAUCUGCCGUGGGCGUAAGAAGAUUGAAGAGAUUUGACCCUAGUACGAGAGGACCGGGUUGAACAAACCACUGGUGUAGCUGUUGUUCUGCCAAGAGCAUCGCAGCGUAGCUAAGUUUGGAAAGGAUAAACGCUGAAAGCAUCUAAGCGUGAAGCCAACUCUAAGAUGAAUCUUCUCUAAGCUCUCUAGAAGACUACUAGUUUGAUAGGCUGGGUGUGUAAUGGAUGAAAGUCCUUUAGCUGACCAGUACUAAUAGAGCGUUUGGCUUAUCUUUAAUAAAGCAU
rnacentral:rRNA from 1 species